rnacentral:rRNA from 1 species
AACGAACGCUGGCGGCAUGCCUAACACAUGCAAGUCGAACGAGACCUUCGGGUCUAGUGGCGCACGGGUGCGUAACGCGUGGGAACCUGCCCUUAGGUUCGGAAUAACUCCCCGAAAGGGGUGCUAAUACCGGAUAAUGUCUUCGGACCAAAGAUUUUUCGCCUUUGGAUGGGCCCGCGUUGGUUUAGCUAGUUGGUAGGGUAUAAGCCUGCCACGGCGACGAUCCAUAGCUGGUCGGAGAGGAUGAUCAGCCACACUGGGACUGAGACACGGCCCAGACUCCUGCGGGAGGCAGCAGUGGUUAAUAUAGGACAAGGGGCGAGAGCCUGAUCCAGCACGGCCGCGUGAGUGAUGAAGGCCUUAGGGUUGUAAAGCACUUUUAGCCGGGAUGAUAAUGACAGUACCGGGAGAAUAAGCACCGGCUAACUACGUG